UCGGUCAUAACACGUUAAAACACAGGUUCCGUACGAUCACCGAAGUUAAGCUACAACGUGACUAGUCAGUACCUACAUGAGUGACCUUUUGGGAAUAUCAAGUGCUGUAA